GCCCGCUUCCUAAUGCUCCACGUCCUCCACGGCUCCACAGGCGCUCAAUGUUCAUCUUCCCAGUAGAACUGUCCGCCUUCACGAUAUAGGCCUUAAUGGCCACAAAUUCUCUGCAUCGUAAUGCCUUCUCGCCACAAAUUCUCAUGAAAACCCCCGAUGCAGCCCACCAUCAUCAUUGCCCUUCAAAUAGGCAAGAAACUGUUCGGAAGAUCUGAACCGCCGCCUCCAUGUUUAAAAAGCUACCUAUGUUGCCGUCGACAAACAGCGCCGGCCUGCUCGCGAUGCCAUCGCUGGCACGGCUCCACUUUGGUAGCUCUCCGUUCUAGAUUUCUUUUCUACCAUUUUUUAAAAUUAUCUCCUCCCUUUUGAUUGUCAAUCUAUUAGCUUGCGCGCCGGCUACAAACCUGCUCGACGUUUUGCUUCCCCUGCGAAUUGAUUCGAUUUUUCAUUGAAUUAUGCCUGUUGCUCACUGAAUUGGAUUUUGUAUACUCAUCGCUCAAGCAUGGAGGAACAACUUACAUUGAUUCGAAGUUGUAUUGCGGUUCGAGGAGUUGUCUGACUAUUUUACCUUUGAGUUCAUAAUAAUCAUUCUGAAGCAGGACUAGCAAGGGGCCAUAUGUACAUCGAUCCAUUCUACAUGACUGCUGUUCUGGUCAUACUUCUUUUCCAAUCUACCUAUUAUGUCUCUUCACUUUGCUCAAUUUCUAUUAAACAGAUUCGUUUCUUUUGGCCUACAUAUGCACCACUCAUGAUGAUCUCACAAUGUAAGCUGUAACUGGACUUUCAACUUCCUUUCCAUUUUUCACUUCAUUUACAUAUAUAUGGUGUAUGAUAUCAUAGUAGUUUCUGAUUUUUUUUUUCUACGUAUGCACCACUCAUGAUGAUCUCAGAAUGUAAGGUGUAAGUGGACUUUCAAUCUCCUUGGUGUAUAUUUAUCGUAGUAGUUUCUGAUUUUUUUUUUGCCAAUUGCUUAUUGUUUAUUGGUCUUACAACAUACUGAGAAAACCAGAAAAGCAUAGCGCAGAGCAACCAUGCAAGAAGACAAUUGCCCAAGACCCCAAGUCAACACACAUUCAAAUAAUCAGUUGUUUAUUUCAUCAGCGCCAAGUUGCUGUUUAUCACAGUGAGUCUGUAUCUCACACGAACAACAACGGCCAUGUCACCCUCUCUAAAGCUACUGAUACUCGAUUAUUCGGGUUUAUUUGGUAAUUCAUUUCACUUCGGUUUUCAACUACUGAACUAUAGUUAUAGAUACUAUGAAGGGUCUAAGAAAUUAUAUAUUACUACUCAUUUUCUCAAAACUUUGCGACCAACAGAUUAGAAUAUCAUGCCCUCCUCAUCACUCUAUAUAACAGCAACAGUUACAUUUCCCUCAUCCACAAAAAAAUACAAAUAAAAAUUUCAAACAACAGCCUUCUCCUGUCUGUGAUGCAUGGAGGGACAACCAGGGCAAAACAGCAUUGCAAUCAGGCCAACAACACAUGUACUUCCACCUUCAACUCAUCGACAAAUAGAAGCUAGCAAGAUGUAUACCGAGGAAAUGAAGAAACUCAGGGGGGGCUAAACAACCACUGCGUCUAACUUUACAAGAGGGGAGCAAAGACGGACCUUCCCGUCCGGACGACAUCACAAACAUACUUGGAUCUGAUCAUCCGUUCUCCAGAAUUGAAUGCACCAAAUAUGUAAAAAACACGUCGCAGUUAUCUUUUAUGAUGACAAGAUCUACAAUGACACUGAAUAGCUAUCAAUUCACCGAUUGAGUACUCAGAUCAUAUUAUUGACUUCGAAAUCAUGAAAUUCCCUAUUUUACA